rnacentral:lncRNA from 1 species
CUCUCCCAUAUUACUUGAUAAUGUGCAUGACUCCAUAGGUUCGAACACUAAGCUGAUAGUACAGAAACUAAUUUUUGUACUAAUCGAAGUGACCAUCUAGCAAUGAUACUCGUUAUCUAGAUAGAUCGAAUAAUUAUAAAGCAACAUUUUAGAACCUUGGUAUAUGGUUAUCGUAUAAUUUAUACCUUCGACCCAAUGCUUAAGAUGACCUCAGAGUUAAACUAUCAAACUCUUGACAAAUCAUCUGUAUUGUGUUUCAACCUUA